rnacentral:rRNA from 1 species
GACGAACGCUGGCGGCAGGCCUAACACAUGCAAGUCGAGCGAGCGGCGGACGGGUGAGUAAUGUAUGGGGACUGCCCGAUAGAGGGGGAUAACUACUGGAAACGGUGGCUAAUCCCGCAUACUAUCGGAUAACCCAUAUGGGAUUAGCUAGUAGGUGGGGUAAAGGCUCACCUAGGCGACGUUCCCUAGCUGGUUUGAGAGGAUGAUCAGCCACACUGGUACUGAGACAAGGCCCAGACGCCUACGGAGGCAGCAGUGGGGAAUAUUGCACAAUGGGCGCAAGCCUGAUGCAGCCAUGCCGCGUGUAUGAAGAGGGCCUGAGGGUUGUAAAGUACUUUCAGCGGGGAGGCGUUACCCGCAGAAGAAGCACCGGCUAACUCCGUGCCAGCAGCCGCGGUAAUUC